GAUGAACGCUGGCGGCGUGCCUAACACAUGCAAGUCGAGCGAAGCACUUACUUUAGAUUUCUUCGGAAUGACGAAGUUUGUGACUGAGCGGCGGACGGGUGAGUAACGCGUGGGCAACCUGCCCUGUACAGGGGGAUAACAGUUAGAAAUGACUGCUAAUACCGCAUAAGCCCACAGCUUCGCAUGAAGCAGUGGGAAAAACUCCGGUGGUACAGGAUGGGCCCGCGUCUGAUUAGCUAGUUGGUAAGGUAACGGCUUACCAAGGCGACGAUCAGUAGCCGACCUGAGAGGGUGACCGGCCACAUUGGGACUGAGGCACCGCCCAAACUCCUACGGGAGGCAGCAGUGGGGAAUAUUGCACAAUGGGGGAAACCCUGAUGCAGCGACGCCGCGUGAGCGAUGAAGUAUUUCGGUAUGUAAAGCUCUAUCAGCAGGGAAGAAAGUGACGGUACCUGACUAAGAAGCCCCGGCUAACUACGUG
rnacentral:rRNA from 1 species